UAUAUAUAAAUAUAAAAUCAGUCUGGAAGGACCCAACAUCGACCUAUUUCUUUAACCCGCCGAGCUGUGACACAGACCCGAUUACAAUUGGUUCUCCCUCAUCUGGCAGAUUCCCGGCAUAGCAUCGGCAGCAACUGGUCUAGAUGGAUAGCGCGAAGUGGAACCCGACACCGGUAGACUGUAGGAGGAGAUCAAAGCUUAAUUGAAAGCUUCGGCCAUUCCGAUGUAUUUUUGAUGUUUUCCUAUGGCUCCAGUGAUAGGUUGCAAUGCAUGAGUCCAUGCGUUGGCAUCUAUGGCGACCUAAGUAGUUAUCGUUCAAGUAUUCGUUGUUUUUUUGCGAAAGAGUCAUGGUCUUCGAUAUGAGGAUCACUCGUGAUUGAGGCGGAUUUUUAAGCUAUGGUGAGUGCCACGAGCCAUGUUCCGACCAGACUUAUUUGCACCCUGCCAAGGAAACACAAAGGAAUUUGGUGGUCCUCUGCGUACAACUGUACAUGAUCUAGGGAACAUCUCGACGUUUUUCGGUGAAGGUUGGAACAAGAAUGAUCAACCCCUCAAAACGAGGCUCCCCUCGUCAAUCUAAUUCCGAUCAAAUUUAGUGAUGGAUUUCCAGGUUUAGGUGUCCUUGUUGGAAAUCAGCUUUACAGUGGAGGUGCAGCAUGUUGGCACUUCCAAGAAUUGCAUGGUGCCCUCGAUGUGGUCUUGAGGGCGUCGGGUCAAUGCUGCAGCAAAGCUUGCCUAGGCUAUUGGGCUGGCUUGCUCUCUUUGGGGUUGGGAUAGGGCAUUUCGGCCUUAUCUUAACCCUCAUAGGGAGUGGGCUAGUCUUUUUAAGGCUGUGUUUUAUUUAAGUUUUACUUUGCCUAUUUACUAUGUCAUAGUGGUCCAUAGUUUAUAGGCUUGCUUUUAAUAAGUGAGCGUGGAGUAUUCAAUGAGUGAACCUAUUUCUAUGUAUCGCGUGGUAACACCACAACUUCUUAUCUGUCCAUAGAUGGCAGAGGGAGGCAUGUAGUGUUCAAUGAGUUGACUUAUUUCUAUGUA